AUGAACGCAAGCGAGGACGGCGCCCGCCGCCGCCGCCGUUCCCAAACCCACGACGAGGCAGACGGAGUGGCCCGCCUCCAUCCUCAGGUUCACGCGGGCGAGGAGGGAGCGGGAGUGGCUCGCGGGCGCCGUACGCGCCCCCGCGCCCGCCCUCGUUCCCAGAUCCACGCGACCGGCGAGGGCGCCGGAGUGAUCUGUUGCGUCAGCAUUCCGGCGGCGCUGGCCUCGCCGUUCGAAGACGACGACCUCCUGAGGGAGAUUCUCCUCCGUCUCCCGCCGCAGCCCUCCUCGCUACUCCGGGCCUCCGCCGUCUGCAAGCAGUGGCGAUGCGCCGCCACCGACCCCAAGUUUCUCCACCGCUUCCGCACGCACCACCGGAAGCCGCCCCUCCUCGGCGUCUUUCACGUGCGCAACAGGGAUGAUAUCGUCUUCACCCCAAUACUGGACGCACCCGACCGCAUCCCUCCUCAGCGAUUCGACCUUAUUAGCAGCACGGAGGUGGUGCUCUUACUGCUCGAUUGUCGCCACGGUCGCGUCCUUCUCAUUGACGUGAAGCGGGAUGAGGCCAUCGUGUCCACCCCCAUCACCGGCGAGCAGCGCCACCUGCCAAUUCCGUCGGAGUUCGAAUUCACCGAUGAUGUCAACGGGGCUGUGCUCUGCGCUGCCAGCGACCAUGACCAUGUGCACGGAAGCUGCCACUCGAGCCCCUUCAAGGUAGUGUUGAUCUCCGAUGUUGGAGAGGAUAAUCGAUUCUUUGCUUGUGUUUACUCCUCGGAGACUGGAGUAUGGAGUGAUAUCAUCUCAACAGCCGUUCCACCUGUAACUUUUUGUGCUGAUACCCCUGGGGUGCUUGUUGGUAAUGCACUUUACUGGUUGAUGGAUUUUAUGACCGAUGACAUACUUGAGUUUGAUUUGGAUCAGCAGAGCCUAGCUGUGAUCAAGGGGCCUCCCAUUACAGAUGAUUUCCGCCAUGCCAGCCAUUGGAUCGUCCAGGCUGAGGAUGGUGCUGUUGGCUUCGCCAUAUUGACUUGCAGUCACUUACAAAUGUGGCAGAGGAUUAUAAAUGUCCAUGGUGUUGCCACAUGGGUGUUAUGGAAGACCAUUGACAUGCAUACCAUUCAUGGGCUCCCUCCCCAGAUUGAAGGAGAGAAGACACACAUGAUACGUAUAGCGGGAUGCAUUGAGGAUACUGAUGGUAUAUAUCUAUUUGUAGGCUGUGAUGUCUAUAUGGUUCAACUUAAUUCGAUGCAGUCUAGGAAACUUUGUGAAAACCGUGGUUAUACUUACUAUCAUUCGUUCAAGAGUUUCUAUCCGCCAGGCACAACCAUUGCUGGUGCAUGCGAUGGAGCUGAAAUGUUGCACGAUACAUAG
rnacentral:rRNA from 1 species